UUGAAAAAAGCUUCUGUCCAAGUUUGGUAAAAACCCAGGACAGUUUAUGAAUCUGAUAAAUGUUUAAAAAAUUCUUGAUACUAUCUUAUGAUUAUAAAGAAGCUUCUGUCCAAGUUUAAUAGAAAUCAAGGAUAGUUUAAGAAAGGUUCAUUAAAAUUUCAAAAACUUUAACCACAGAGUGAAUGUUUGUAGACGCCACUGACGCCGACGGAAUGUAGGAUCGCUUAGUCUCGCUUUUUCGACUAAAGUCGAAGACUCGACAAAAAAAAACAUACAAUUGAAAUCAGAUUUCUUUCUGACAUACGGGCGCACUACGCUUUUUUAUACACCCGUCAAUAUUUUGACGGGACGUUUUAUGGUAUACCAAUGUCUGGCGUCCGUCCGUCCGCAUGUCGCACUGUAACUUGAGAACCGCUUAUCCAUUUCAUGAAACUUAACAUAGUUGUUUCUUAUGAUGGUUUUCGGAUUUAACUCAAAUUUUUAGUGAAACAAUUUGUAUAUACACGUAUCUUUGUCGGAAUUCAAAUAAAAACCAAAAACUUAUAAAUAUAUAUAUUCCUUUUGUCUUCGUAUAUCUAACAUAAACAUUUUAACAAACUGACCACACUCUUACUUAUAAGUUGGCGCACAUCAAAGUCGGUCGUGCUCCUAUGGCAAACAAUUUUGUUGGGAAAGAAAUAAAACAACAGCAAAAUUAUUUUUCCUUUUUAACAACACAUUUAAUUAUAAAUAUUUGAAGCAUAAAUCUUUUCGAUACAAUUGUUUUAAAUUACUUAAAAUAAAAAAAGAUCGUCAUUGUUUAAUCAGUUGCUAUGUUAUUUGGCACGUGUCAAUCGGUUCAUUGAUUUUCGGCAUAUCAAAGAAAAACCGGCACGUGUCUAAAUAAUGUCGAACAUCUCGUUUAAUUAUGAUUAUUUUUCUGAAAAUUUGAAAUUUAUGCAUUAAAUAUCAAUCUCUAACAUGAUAUAUAAAAAUAAUACAUAAACAGCAAACCUUCUAGUCCUUAGUGGCAUUGUAUAGUCAAAGCCUUAGUGCACUAAGGACUCCUUAGCAGUGUUUAGACGUACCGAAAAAAAAAACCAUCCGUCAUUCUUUGAUAAUCAUAGAAGGUUAACAACUAGUCUGUUUCCCGGCCGUUAUUGAAAUUCUUGACCAUACCUUAAUAUUUGUAUAUUCCGAAGGCAUACUGAAUGUUUUACGGAGGGGACCAACCUAGUCAGUAACAACGUACUAUUGUGAAUUAUUUUUCCGGAUAAUAAUCUUUUAGGCAUACAUUAAAAACGGUGUCAUUGAUAGGCAACCAUGAACACAAUGAAAAAUGAAUCCGUGAAAGUGUUCCAUGUUUAUUCCAUUCAAAUAAAGACUUGUUAUGAUAAUACCAUAUAUUUAACUAUUUUAUAAAAAAAAAAAAAAAAAACAAAAAAAAACAAGAUUAUAUCUUAAACUUGUAAAUCCAAUUUCAAGUUUUAAAAGUUCCUCAAUUUAAAAUAAUACAUGAUAUAUUUGCGUGAUCUUAUAUUUGUUUUAUUAAAAUAAUGCCUUCAAAUACAUAUAAUGUUUAUUUUUAUUCAAUUUUCCACAAAACAUUUUAGCUUUGUUUAAAUGAAAUUCAGAACAGAGAAUUCAAACACUGUUGAAGAGAAUAUACAUAUUCAUGUUAAUUCGCCUCAGUUUAAUUUGUUAAUUCAAGUUUGACAUUUAACAUUUUAAUCCGCAAUCCACAUUUACCCGACAAUCUUGUAUAUUGUAUUUUCUCAACGGAAUAACAUAACGUGCAUGUGACCAUCAGAAACUAAGACAAAAAUGAU
rnacentral:lncRNA from 1 species